UACAGAGGUCCCGAGCGUUGUUCGGAAUUACUGGGCGUAAAGCGUGCGUAGGUGGUUUGUUAAGUCUGAUGUGAAAGCCCUGGGCUCAACCUGGGAACGGCAUUGGAAACUGGCUUACUAGAGUGCGGUAGAGGGGUGUGGAAUUCCCGGUGUAGCAGUGAAAUGCGUAGAUAUCGGGAGGAACAUCUGUGGCGAAGGCGACACCCUGGACCAGCACUGACACUGAGGCACGAAAGCGUGGGGAGCAAACAGG
rnacentral:rRNA from 1 species